rnacentral:lncRNA from 1 species
AAUGUAUGGCCUGUAUUUCAUUGUAAUACAGUGCACUGUAUAUUUUUGUCAUGAUUCUGUUGGUAAUAUUUAUCAUAUUUUUAUUACAGGUCUAGGCCAGCAUACAGGUAAUCUCUGGCCCACUGGAAACACACUGGAGCUGGAAGAUGAAAGUUUAGAGAGCAGCAGCGACCUUACAGUUUCUGUGAGUGAAGAGGAUCAGAUAAUAAAUACAGUUGAGCUACGGCAGAGCCUAGGAGAUAUGGCUCGCAAUGCGGCCUUAAAAUCAAAGAACUCAGAACAAGAAAAAAACCAACAGUCUGUUGAAGAACAUUUUUCUUUGCAAAACAUGAGCCACCAUAGCAUUGAUGAAGACUCUUCAGCUGAUUCAGCAACAAGACAGGUUGCUGAUUUGAGGUUUCUUGUGCGGAGAGAGGAGGACAGGG